AACGACUUCUAUCUUUUUCGGAGCUGACAAGUUUUUUUUUUUUUUCAACGGAGCUAUCCGAAAAUAAUAUUCCACGAUUGAGAAAAAAAAUCUGAUUAUGCAUGCAUGCCAUGUGCGAGCGUGUAAAAUAUUCGUCCGACUAAAUUGGAAUGUUAAUGUUGCGUAUUGACAUUGACACUGAUAACACAGGCGCGUUUGAUAUCAGUUGAGUGAAAUGUUGGAAGAUGAAAUUCUAUUCAAUUCUGCGGUAAGUUCUACGAUUCGGUAUGAAGAAUUAGCGUUAAGAAAUGAGGACAGGGAAUCGUGACAAACGUAACAAUAACAUUUAAAUAAUCGCUUAAAGCAGUAAUGCGCAACCUGAAGGCUCCACAAAUUUCUCAAAUAUUUUUUGAUUCUACCGUCGUUAUUGUUUUACAAGGUGAUAUACGGGUACUGUUUUCUUACGAAGCUUUGACACGCAAUAGUUCGAGCAGCUACAAUCGGAAAGUGAAAUGCUACUAUAACCGCGAGAAUGUUCCGACCAGGGAUAGAGAAAUUACGUGUGUGAAAGGCCUUUGCCAAUAAAUGCC